rnacentral:rRNA from 1 species
GACGAACGCUGGCGGCGUGCCUAACACAUGCAAGUCGAACGGAGAUUAUUGAUGAAGCUUGCGAUUUAAUAAUCUUAGUGGCGGACGGGUGGGUAACGCGUGGGUAACCUGCCCAUAAGAGGGGGAUAACAGCUGGAAACGGCUGCUAAUACCGCAUACGCUUUCCGGGACACAAGUGCCGGAAAGGAAAGAUGGCCUCUACAUGUAAGCUAUCACUUAUGGAUGGACCCGCGUCUGAUUAGCUAGUUGGUGGGGUAGAAGCCUACCAAGGCGACGAUCAGUAGCCGGCCUGAGAGGGUGGACGGCCACACUGGGACUGAGACACGGCCCAGACUCCUACGGGAGGCAGCAGUCGAGAAUAGUCUACAAUGGUCGGAAGACUGAUAGUGCGACGCCGCGUGAACGAUGAAUCCCUUCGGGUGUAAAGUUCUUUUAUAUGUGAGCAGUGCUUCUUAUAUUAACAGUAUGGGGAGAGAGAUAUUAGCAUA